rnacentral:rRNA from 1 species
UAGGGAAUAUUGCACCAUGGGCGAAAGCCUGAUGCAGCAACGCCGCGUGAGUGAAGAAGGCCUUCGGGUCGUAAAACUCUUUUCAAGGGAAAGAGGAAGGACGGUACCCUUGGAAUAAGCAUCGGCUAACUACGUGCCAGCAGCCGCGGUAACACGUAGGAUGCAAGCGUUAUUCGGAUUUACUGGGCGUAAAGCGCGUGUAGGCGGUUAGGAGAGUUGGAUGUGAAAGCUCCCGGCUUAACUGGGAGAGGUCGUUCAAAACUUCCUGACUAGAGUUUGGUAGAGGAAAAUGGAAUUCCGGGUGUAGUGGUGAAAUGCGUAGAUAUCCGGAGGAACACCAGUGGCGAAAGCGAUUUUCUGGACCGAUACUGACGCUCAGACGCGAAAGCUAGGGUAGCAAACGGG